GCGCCAGUCGGUUGGCUGCCCAAGAGUCCGGUUGUGGGCUCCGGCACUGACUGAGGGCGCUGCCCUACAAAGGCUGCUUGGAGGGAGUUCAUCAGAAAAAUUGGCAUCCCUUUGCAGUAAAGUACUCAAGCAGCGCGGGAGAGCUCGGAGUAGAGUGGGCGUCCAUCACUUGCCCAUGUAAUGAAGUUCCUUUAAUAGGAGAGCUGGAAUCCGAGCCCUCUGCGGCCUCCAGCCCUCCGUACAGAGUGCAGUGUGGAGCUGUCCUGCAGCCCAGAGCUGAAGCCAAGACCCUGAAGGGCCUCCUGACCAGGUGCCUCUGAAAGGAAGUGGCCCAGGGUUCACGGAUAAUCAAGUGCCACCUUUUCAGGGGUGGAAAUGAGGAAUUUGAAGGAGAAGAAGGAUGCUGCGCGCGUUUGAACAGCCCUUACCCGGCAUCUGCUCCUCGGGAGCAGGCUGUGUGAAGGAUGCACGACGCUGGUUCCAAGACUCAGCCUUGCCGCCCCCUCCUCCAGGAAAAGGUGCCCCGCCGAAGCUCCCACAACACCUGCCUUUCCCUUGCCCGCAGUGGCUGUUGCCACCUCCCCUCCCUGCUGUUUUCUCUUCCCCUUUCCCUUGACUGGUGGACUUUCACUUCCCGGGCCCUUCUGACAAGCUGCACCCAGCUGCUGCCUUUGAACUGUCCCCACGCUUCCUGCCCUCCGCCCCCUGCCGCCCACGCACGGUGACCCCCGUGUGGGGAGCGCUGCUGCCCACGGAGCCUCCUCCCCGGCCGGGCCCCCUGCGCCCCCGCGCGCGCGCGCGUCUGUUACGGCAAGGAAGUGCGAACUCCCCAGCCUCCGCAGGCAGCCCAGGCCACUGGCGGCCGUGGCGCUCUCUUCCCGCCCGCUCUUCAGGGAAGCUGGCUCCGGGGUCGGCUCCCAGUUCGUUCAACAGUACCACCGAUCCCGUCUACGAAAGAGGCCCUGGCUCCGAAGCGCCUCUGCAGCCCGGAUGCCCGGCCGGCCCUCUCCAGCUCACAGAUGGCUGGCCUGGCAGGGGCGCUGCGGGUAGGUCUGAACUUGCCCGAGGCCACGCGGGUUCGUUAGAAUGCCGGGCCUGACUCCAGGGCACGGGUUCUUUGUGGAGGGUUUGACCCAAAGGCCCAGGAGUGCAGGCUUGUGCCGUCCUCCCCUACAGCCUGCCCUCCAUUCUCACGGCUCCCCCCAGGAGCAAGUCCCAACUGAUUCCUCAGCCAGGGAGAAGGCCACGUGGACAAGCCCAGGCCCGGGGCCCAGGGUUUGCCUGCCCUGCUUCCCUCCCUCCCUCCCUCCACCAUUCCACGUCUCACCCAGAGGCCCAGCUCUCCCCUACCAACCACUCCAGCCCAGCUGAUCUCAUCCAAAAAGCCACAAGCCACCCUUCUGGCUCUUGAUUUCCUAGUGUCCUGUGUGUUUACGGUUCUACUUCAUUUGCAGACAGUAGCACAGAGGUAGAGAUUAGGGAUGGGCUUUGGAGUCAAAUGAGCUCGUGUUCAAAUCCUGGCUCCAUUGCUGUGUGCCCCUGGGCAAGCUACUGAACCUUUCUUGGCUUUAAUUACUUCCUCUAUAAAAGUAGGUAUAAUCACACUUGUUGCAAAUGUUAUUUCCCUGAGCAUUAAAGGAAAAUUUUCUCAUCCAACAAAAAUUUACUGGUGUCUACUAUUUACCAGGCACUUACUGUAGAGGAGGGUAUGGUGGUGUACAAGACAAACUCCUUGUCCUCAAAGUACUUACGUUCUGGUGGGUGACAGACAGUAAACAUGUAGCCAAACAAAUCAUUUUAGUGAUAAUUGCUAUUUUAAGAAAAGACCAUAGAGAGUGAUUAGAUUAGGAGAGGUACGGAGUAGUAGUUUAGAUGGGGUGACUCCGGAAGGAUGUCUGAAGAGGUGACAUUUGAGCAGGGAUCUGAAUGAUGCAAAGGAGUGAGCUGUGCAAACAUCUGGGGAGAGCAGGUGUAAAGAUCCUGAAGCAGCAAUGAGGUCGAUGUGUUCACAGAACAACAGUAACACCCGUGCAGCUAGGGUAGGGUACAAGAGAGGAGCAAGGUAGGAGUUAAGAUCAGAGAGGUAAUACGGGAGGAGAAGGUUUAGCAUGUAGUCAGUGCUCCAUAAAUUCUAACUAUUCUUCAGGGUGUCUUAUUUUCCUAACAAGGCUGUAUGCUCCAUUCACUGAACAAAUAUUGACUGUGUGCCUACCAGAUGUCAGGCAGUGUGCUACAAGAUAGGAAUAUGAAAAUGAACAAGACAGAUGUGGGAGAGGAAAGUAAGAAAAUGAGCAGGGUGCUGGGCAGGGUCAGAGACAGCUGAGGCUCCCCUCCUUCGAGCUGAGGGGCUGAACUUAGCUCAAGGGCAUCCUGAUGCUUGCCGUGCUAUUGUACAGUACUGGCCAGGAAAGUGCCCAGGGAAUCGUUCUUUGAAUAUUAAGAGAUGAAAAAAGAGAUACAGGGUAAAUAUGAACCAAAAAACCUCCAGAGUAGCAAUUUUAAUAUCACCCAAAAUAGACUUUCAGGUGGAAAACAUCAUAAGGGACAAAGAAGACUUUAUAUGCAGUGGAAGUCAAAUGAAUGACUCAAUUAGUGAGCUCAAUCUAAUAAAAAGCUUUAUACUUAACAAAUAAAGAAUAUACAUUUUUUUCAAGAAUAUAUGGGAGACUCCAAAGAUCAGUCACCUACUAGUCAUGCACCUCAGUAAAUUUUAAAAAAUCAACAUCAUACAGCCCAUGUUCUCUAUCACAAUACAAUAAAUUUGGAAAUCAUUAACAAAAGAAUAGCUUCAAGGGGCCCCUGGGUGGCUCAGUAGGUUAAG